UUAUUUUCUUUUCCGUUGCAACACACGGACUCUUUUGCUAUGGGUUUUUAAGACCCGAUAGGCAAGCCCUAGGGUGCUGAUUAAAGUUAGGCGCGUUGCGGCUGGUAGCACAUUGUAUUGGAAGGAUCCUUCCACGACGAGGCGGCGACCAGUCCUAAUUAAGCCACAGAACGAAGGAGACAAACAUAGUCGUAAUUAAGCCAGAGAUCGAAGAAGACAAACAUGGGGCAUGGUUUGGCUCAACUGCCAUCUCACCAUGUCUCUCUUUCUCCAUCACUCCAUGGCUCGUGGUUUAGCGUGUUUUAGGUGGCCUCGCUGGCUCCAUGACCAACCGGCGCCUC
rnacentral:lncRNA from 1 species